rnacentral:rRNA from 1 species
AGAGUUUGAUCCUGGCUCAGGAUGAACGCUGGCGGCGUGCCUAACACAUGCAAGUCGAGCGAGAUGCUUAUGACGAAUUCUUCGGAUGCCUGAUUAAGCGGAAAGCGGCGGACGGGUGAGUAACGCGUAGGCAACCUGCCCUUCACAGAGGGAUAGCCUCGGGAAACCGGGAUUAAAACCUCAUAAUGCCGAGACAAGACAUCUUGAUUCGGCCAAAGAUUUAUCGGUGAAGGAUGGGCCUGCGUCUGAUUAGUUAGUUGGUGGGGUAACGGCCUACCAAGGCGACGAUCAGUAGCCGACCUGAGAGGGUGAUCGGCCACAUUGGAACUGAGACACGGUCCAAACUCCUACGGGAGGCAGCAGUGGGGAAUAUUGCACAAUGGGGGAAACCCUGAUGCAGCAACGCCGCGUGAAGGAGGAAGGCCUUCGGGUCGUAAACUUCUGUCCUUGGGGAAGAAACAAAUGACGGUACCCUUGGAGGAAGCCCCGGCUAACUACGUGCCAGCAGCCGCGGUAAUACGUAGGGGGCAAGCGUUAUCCGGAAUUAUUGGGCGUAAAGAGUACGUAGGCGGUUCUUUAAGCGCAGGGUUUAAGGCAAUGGCUCAACCAUUGUUCGCCCUGUGAACUGGGGGACUUGAGUAUCGGAGAGGAAAGCGGAAUUCCUAGUGUAGCGGUGAAAUGCGUAGAUAUUAGGAGGAACACCAGUGGCGAAGGCGGCUUUCUGGACGAAUACUGACGCUGAGGUACGAAAGCGUGGGGAGCAAACAGGAUUAGAUACCCUGGUAGUCCACGCCGUAAACGAUGAGCACUAGGUGUCGGGGCCGCAAGGUUUCGGUGCCGCAGUUAACGCAUUAAGUGCUCCGCCUGGGGAGUACGCACGCAAGUGUGAAACUCAAAGGAAUUGACGGGGACCCGCACAAGCAGCGGAGCAUGUGGUUUAAUUCGAAGCAACGCGAAGAACCUUACCAGGGCUUGACAUCCUUCUGACCGGAACUUAACCGGACCUUUCUUCGGACAGAAGUGACAGGUGGUGCAUGGUUGUCGUCAGCUCGUGUCGUGAGAUGUUGGGUUAAGUCCCGCAACGAGCGCAACCCUUGUCGUUAGUUACUAACAUUCAGUUGAGGACUCUAAUGAGACUGCCGUGGAUAACACGGAGGAAGGUGGGGAUGACGUCAAAUCAUCAUGCCCCUUAUGUCCUGGGCUACACACGUGCUACAAUGGUCGGUACAAAGAGACGCGAGACAGUGAUGUGGAGCAAAUCUCAAAAGCCGAUCCCAGUUCGGAUUGCAGGCUGCAACUCGCCUGCAUGAAGUCGGAGUUGCUAGUAAUCGUGGAUCAGAAUGCCACGGUGAAUGCGUUCCCGGGUCUUGCACACACCGCCCGUCA